rfam:Colletotrichum orbiculare MAFF 240422 contig06358, whole genome shotgun sequence.
GCCCCUUUGGCUCAGUGGUAGAGCGUCUCACUCGUACUCCUGCGAAACAUGAGAAGGUCCACGGUUCAAUCCCGUGAGGGGGCA